AACGGCCGCGGUAUCUUGACCGUGUGAAGGUAGCGUAAUCAUUUGUCUUUUAAAUGAAGACCUGUAUGAAUGGCGUAACGAGAGCUUAACUGUCUCACUCUUCCAGUCAAUGAAAUUGAGCUCCCCGUGCAGAAGCGAGGAUAAUAACAUAAGACGAAAAGACCCUAUGGAGCUUUAGAAUUUGAGACAGCCUUUUAAAUUUACAUUAAUACAUCUAAAGUGUCUAUCUCUAAUUUCUUCGGUUGGGGCGACCACGGAGAAAAACAAAACCUCCACGAGGAAUAAUACACAUAUUUCUUAAAAUUAAGAAUGACAACUCUAAAUUUCAGAAUAUCUGUCCACAAAAGAUCCGGCUUAUUUCGACCGAUCAACGAAUCAAGUUACCCUAGGGAUAACAGCGCAAUCCCCUUUUAGAGCUCACAUCGACAAGGGGGUUUACGACCUCGAUGUUGGAUCAGGACAUCCUAAU
rnacentral:rRNA from 1 species